UGAGCUUGAUCCUGGCUCAGGACGAACGCGGCGGCGUGCCUAAUACAUGCAAGUCGAGCGGACUGAUGGGAGCUUGCUCCCUGAUGUCAGCGGCGGACGGGUGAGUAACACGUGGGCAACCUGCCUGUAAGACUGGGAUAACUCCGGGAAACCGGGGCUAAUACCGGAUAACCCGUUCCACCUCAUGGUGGAGCGGUAAAAGAUGGCCUCUGGCUAUCACUUACAGAUGGGCCCGCGGCGCAUUAGCUAGUUGGUAAGGUAACGGCUUACCAAGGCGACGAUGCGUAGCCGACCUGAGAGGGUGAUCGGCCACACUGGGACUGAGACACGGCCCAGACUCCUACGGGAGGCAGCAGUAGGGAAUCUUCCGCAAUGGACGAAAGUCUGACGGAGCAACGCCGCGUGAGUGAUGAAGGUUUUCGGAUCGUAAAGCUCUGUUGUUAGGGAAGAACAAGUGCCGUUUGAAUAAGGCGGCACCUGACCGGUACCUACCCGAAGCACCGACU
rnacentral:rRNA from 1 species